UACGGAGGAUCCGAGCGUUAUCCGGAUUUAUUGGGUUUAAAGGGAGCGUAGGCGGGGUAUUAAGUCAGUUGUGAAAGUUUGCGGCUCAACCGUAAAAUUGCAGUUGAUACUGGUAUCCUUGAGUGCAGCAGAGGUGGGCGGAAUUCGUGGUGUAGCGGUGAAAUGCUUAGAUAUCACGAAGAACUCCGAUUGCGAAGGCAGCUCACUGGAGUGUAACUGACGCUGAUGCUCGAAAGUGUGGGUAUCAAACAGG
rnacentral:rRNA from 3 species